rnacentral:misc_RNA from 1 species
AGCAGCCGCGGUAAUUCCAGCUCCAAUAACGUAUAUUAAAGUUGUUGCAGUUAAAAGCUCGUAGUUGAAUUUCGGGAUUUAUCCGUCGGUCGGGCUUUUGGGUCUGUACUGGGGUGAUGAAUUCCUACCUUCUGAAUAACCAGCAUGCCAUUAAUUUGGUGCGCCGGGGAAGCAGGACUGUUACCUUGAAAAAUUGAGUGCUUAAAGCAGGCUAUUGCCUGAAUACAUUAGCAUGGAAUAAUGAAAUAGGACGGCAUGGUUCUAUUUUGUUGGUUUCCAGGAUCACCGUAAUGAUUAAUAGGGAUAGUUGGGGGCAUUAGUAUUCAAUUGUCAGAGGUGAAAUUCUUGGAUUUAUUGAAGACUAACUUCUGCGAAAGCAUUUGCCAAGGAUGUUUUCAUUAAUCAAGAACGAAGUUAGGGAUCGAAGACGAUCAGAUACCGUCGUAGUCUUAACCAUAAACUAUGCCGACUAGGGAUCGGACG